ACGAAGGGGGCUAGCGUUGUUCGGAAUCACUGGGCGUAAAGCGCACGUAGGCGGAUGUGCCAGUCAGGGGUGAAAUCCCGGAGCUCAACUCCGGAACUGCCUCUGAUACAGCACGUCUUGAGUUCGAGAGAGGUGGGUGGAAUUCCUAGUGUAGAGGUGAAAUUCGUAGAUAUUAGGAAGAACACCGGUGGCGAAGGCGGCCCACUGGCUCGAUACUGACGCUGAGGUGCGAAAGCGUGGGGAGCAAACAGGA
rnacentral:rRNA from 1 species